rnacentral:rRNA from 1 species
UACGAAGGGGGCUAGCGUUGCUCGGAAUCACUGGGCGUAAAGGGUGCGUAGGCGGGUCUUUAAGUCAGGGGUGAAAUCCUGGAGCUCAACUCCAGAACUGCCUUUGAUACUGAGGAUCUUGAGUUCGGGAGAGGUGAGUGGAACUGCGAGUGUAGAGGUGAAAUUCGUAGAUAUUCGCAAGAACACCAGUGGCGAAGGCGGCUCACUGGCCCGAUACCUGACGCUGAGACGCGAAAGCGUGGGGAGCAAACAGGG